UUUCCGUAGGUGAACCUGCGGAAGGAUCAUUACCGAGUUAGGGUCUCCUCCGCGAGGCCCGACCUCCCAACCCUGUGUUUAACAAACCCAAACGUGUUGCUUCGGCGGACCGGGACGCCCGCAAGGGAGUCACCGCCGGGGGGCUACGGCCGCAAGGCUUACCCCUGGAGAGUCGUCCGUCGAUGGCCCAACCAACCCCAAAAAUUCUAUAACCAAAACAUAAACAAUCUUCUGAAUCAGACCUUUGAUGUAACAAUCAAAAACAAAACUUUCAACAACGGAUCUCUUGGUUCUGGCAUCGAUGAAGAACGCAGC
rnacentral:misc_RNA from 1 species